rnacentral:rRNA from 1 species
GACGAACGCUGGCGGCGUGCCUAAUACAUGCAAGUAGAACGCUGAAGGAGGAGCUUGCUUCUCUGGAUGAGUUGCGAACGGGUGAGUAACGCGUAGGUAACCUGCCUGGUAGCGGGGGAUAACUAUUGGAAACGAUAGCUAAUACCGCAUAAUAGCAGUUAUUGCAUGAUAACUGUUUGAAAGGUGCAAUUGCAUCACUACCAGAUGGACCUGCGUUGUAUUAGCUAGUUGGUGGGGUAACGGCUCACCAAGGCGACGAUACAUAGCCGACCUGAGAGGGUGAUCGGCCACACUGGGACUGAGACACGGCCCAGACUCCUACGGGAGGCAGCAGUAGGGAAUCUUCGGCAAUGGACGGAAGUCUGACCGAGCAACGCCGCGUGAGUGAAGAAGGUUUUCGGAUCGUAAAGCUCUGUUGUAAGAGAAGAACGAGUGUGAGAGUGGAAAGUUCACACUGUGACG